rnacentral:rRNA from 1 species
GAUGAACGCUAGCUACAGGCUUAACACAUGCAAGUCGAGGGGUAACGAGAGGAAAGCUUGCUUUCCUUGUCGACGACCGGCGCACGGGUGAGUAACGCGUAUCCAACCUGCCCCCAACUAGGGAAUAACCUUGCGAAAGUAAGACUAAUACCCUAUAAUUUCCUCAGAUGCCAUCUGACGAGGAAUAAAGAUUUAUCGGUUGUGGAUGGGGAUGCGUCUGAUUAGCUUGUUGGCGGGGUAACGGCCCACCAAGGCAACGAUCAGUAGGGGUUCAGAGAGGAAGGUCCCCCACAUUGGAACUGAGACACGGUCCAAACUCCUACGGGAGGCAGCAGUGAGGAAUAUUGGUCAAUGGGCGGAAGCCUGGACCAGCCAAGUAGCGUGCAGGAUGACGGCCCUAUGGGUUGUAAACUGCUUUUAUACAGGAAUAAAGUUAGCCACGUGUGGUUAUUUGUAGGUACUGUACGAAUAAGGACCGGCUAAUUCCGUGCCAGCCGCCGCAGUAA